CAUGACUGCAAGCGGUGGAUCACUCGGCUCACAGGUCGAUGAAGAACGCAGCUAGCUGUGUUAAACGGUGUAAAUUGCAGAAUACACCGAAUCAUCGACAUUCGAACGCUCACUGCGCUUUCAACUUAAGUUGGAAGUGUAUCUGUCUGAGUGUCGUUA
rnacentral:rRNA from 1 species